rnacentral:sRNA from 1 species
AAGGGGCGGCUCUCCAGUAUCGACGUCGACCGGAUCGGCAAUCCGUGUGCGAAUGGACCUCGAGGCGCGUUCGGGCGCAAAAAGGGGCGUUAUCCCGAAUCGUUGACGGUUUGGUAACCCGGAUUAAGUCAAAAUAAACU